rnacentral:rRNA from 1 species
AAAGGAAUUGACGGGGCCCGGCACAAGCGGUGGAGCACGUGGUUUAAUUCGAUGCAAACCGAAGAACCUUACCUGGGUUUGACAUGUGCGUGUUACUGAGGUGAAAGCCGAGGGACCAUAUCUUCGGAUGUGGAGCGUACACAGGUGCUGCAUGGCUGUCGUCAGCUCGUGUCGUGAGAUGUGGGUUAAGUCCCGCAACGAGCGCAACCCUGCAUUCAGUUGCCAACGGUAAGGCCGGGCACUCUGGAUGGACUGCCGGCGACAAGCCGGGGGAAGGUGGGGAUGCCGUCAAGCCAUCAUGGCCCUUAUGUCCAGGGCGACACACGUGCUACAAUGGCCGGCACAGCGGGAAGCGAGGGGGCGACCUUGAGCGGAUCCCUCAAAGCCGGUCUCAGUUCGGAUUGCAGUCUGCAACUCGACUGCAUGAAGUUGGAAUCGCUAGUAAUCGUGGAUCAGCCAAGCCGCGGUGAAUACGUUCCCGGGCCUU